rnacentral:lncRNA from 1 species
CCGGUAGGAAUGUUUGGGGGUGAGCCUAGCAGCGGUGCUGCAGGAAGGCUGAGUGGGGCUGGCUCGCUGGUACCAGGCAGAGAUGAGUAUCCUGGAUAUGGGACAGAGCCCUGCAGGUGGCUACUUGCCAGCGGUCAUUUGCCACACCUGAUCUCAGGCCCGUUUUCAUUGCUGAUUGUGGAACCCAUGGCUUCACACAUGCUCAGGAUGCACUCCGUCACUGAACUGUACCCCAAGCCCCGUGCUGGGGUCUUGCAUGUCUGCUGGGCGCAGCUGGGAUUGUGUGGCUUUGUUGGGUGGAGCCAUGUGUAGUGGAUGGUUGGUGGCCAGGGCGAGCCAGAGCUGUGAGUAUUGUGGGUGAGCCUUGGGUCCUCUGAGUUUCAGGGAGCUGUGUUCAGUGUGUUCAGUGGGGGUUCAGGAUAAACAGCCAGCCAGGCCUUAGAGAUGUGA